rnacentral:lncRNA from 1 species
UGAUACUCUGUCACAGUCUUACAGGGGAGAGGUCUGUUGAUACUCUGUCACAGUCUUACAGGGGAGAGGUCUGUUGAUACUCUGUCACACAGUCUUACAGGGGAGAGGUCUGUUGAUACUCUGUCACAGUCUUACAGGGGAAACUGUUGUUACACUCAAAAGAGGUGUGGAGAACAGUACACAAGAUAUGUGGAAUUUCACAUCUAAAACAAGAAUACUCAUCAUUGUGGCACAAUCAGUAAGGGGUGCGUAAGGAAGGAAACUCCUGCACCUCAGAUUCCUGGAGCGGGCCAGCCACCACCGGCCUGAGGAGAGACACAUGGAACGAGGGGUUAAUGCGGUAAUCGGGGGGAAGCUAACCUAUAACAUACCUCGUUCACUCUCCUCAGGACUUUAAAUGGCCCCACAAACCGCGGACCGAGCUUCCGACAGGGCAGGCUGAGGGGCACACCGGGGCCUCACUGCGGUGAUGGUCUGCGCCAACUUUCUGGUGCAGCACGGUGCGCUGAAGAUGGACACGGCGUCCCAUGUUUCCUCAGCGCCGGAACCAGUCAUCCACCGCAGGAGCCUCGGUCUGACUCGGAUGCCAAGGAGCCAGAACUGGCUGAUACCCCAAUACACACUGGAAAGGAGAGAGGUUAGUGGAGGUGUGUCGGAGCGAGUUCUGGGCCAUCUCUACCCAGGGCACGAACGCUGCCCACUCCCCCGGCCGGUCCUGGCAAUAAGACCUCAGAAACCUACCCACAUCCUGGUUAACUCUCUCCACCUGCCGUUACUCUCUGGGUGAAAACCUGAG